GAUGAACGCUGGCGGCGUGCCUAAUACAUGCAAGUCGAGCGGACCAAAGAGAGCUUGCUCUCUGAGGUUAGCGGCGGACGGGUGAGUAACACGUGGGUAACCUGCCUGUAAGACGGGGAUAACUUCGGGAAACCGAAGCUAAUACCGGAUGAUAAAGAGAAACGCCUGUUUCUUUUUUGAAAGUCGGCCUUGUGCUGACGCUUACAGAUGGGCCCGCGGCGCAUUAGCUAGUUGGUGAGGUAACGGCUCACCAAGGCGACGAUGCGUAGCCGAACUGAGAGGGUGAUCGGCCACACUGGGAGUGAGACACGGCCCAGACUCCUACGGGAGGCAGCAGUAGGGAAUCGUCGGAAAUGGACGAAAGUCUGACCGAGCAACGCCGCGUGAGCGACGAAGGCCUUCGGGUCGUAAAGCUCUGUUGUCAGAGAAGAACAAGUACCGGAGUAACUGCCGGUACCUUGACGGUACCUGACCAGAAAGCCACGGCUAACUACGUGCCAGCCGCCGCAGUAAUAC
rnacentral:rRNA from 1 species